AUAUUAUUAAUAACAUCAUAAGUUAAUAACGUACACUCAGUUGUCACUGACGUUGUCGGCGGUAGUGUGGUAGGUACUGAAAUGUAUAAACAAUGUAAUUCACUGCUUAUGGAAAAUUGUAACAGCAGCUAAAUUCUUAUGACAUAACUCAAAGGCGUAAAUCAAUGUGUAAUGUCUUUAACAUUGUUGUUUAAUGAGUUUUUUGAAGUGAGCCCUCUUUGGGGCGCUUUAAGUUCAACUAGUUAAAACGGUAGUUAUGGUACCUUAUGUUCUGAGCUGGAUAGCCAGUGAUCUUGGAUAUAGCCAGUAAUCUUGGAUACGUCUUGAGAGGACAGCACAGUUUAUUUACCAAUAAAUGUUCAACGAAUGAAAAGUGAACACGGUUAUACGACUGGAUUUCAAUAUUGUCUUUUAUUGUCGGGCCAGUACAGUAAAUAAACUAAGAUGUCAAUCAAGUCUAGAUCAUCAAAGCUUUGUACUACACGAAAUCG